rnacentral:rRNA from 1 species
UACGUAGGGGGCAAGCGUUAUCCGGAUUUACUGGGUGUAAAGGGAGCGUAGGCGGCGAUGCAAGUCAGAAGUGAAAGCCCGGGGCUCAACUCCGGGACUGCUUUUGAAACUGUGUUGCUAGAUUGCAGGAGAGGUAAGUGGAAUUCCUAGUGUAGCGGUGAAAUGCGUAGAUAUUAGGAGGAACACCAGUGGCGAAGGUGGCUUACUGGACUGUAAAUGACGCUGAGGCUCGAAAGCGUGGGGAGCAAACAGG